rnacentral:rRNA from 1 species
AGGGCAGCCAAGUCGUGAGGCGGAGCUAAUCCCUUAAAGCCAUUCUCAGUUCGGAUUGUAGGCUGAAACUCGCCUACAUGAAGCUGGAGUUACUAGUAAUCGCAGAUCAGAAUGCUGCGGUGAAUGCGUUCCCGGGUCUUGUACACACCGCCCGUCACACCACGGAAGUUGGGGGCGCCCGAAGCUACUUAGCUAACCCAUUUGGGAAGCGAGUGUCGAAGGUGAAAUCAAUAACUGGGGUGAAGUCGUAACAAGGUACC